GUGCGACAGACGUAAAGCUCAAAAAGACUUGACAUGUCUGUCAAUCAAACUCACUUCCUCCUUCUAGCCGGGAAUCCUAUUGGAUAACGACACACACUCUCUUCAGACCACGCCCACUAAGUAUUAAAUGGUUCUGUGCUGUGCAAAACUGGCUAGCCACGGCUGUAUUUUCUUUUCUAUUCAUGAUGUUAUGGGUUUAAUUUAUCCUAGAUUUGUUUGCACAAUUGCUGGUCGUUCCAAUGUAUUUUUGCUUGGUUUAAUUUAGGAGAAUUCUAAUAAGUUUUAAGUAUUGAAACCUGUGCAAACAGGACAAAGUAUUUGCGUGCGUGUGUGUAUAUGAUAUGUGUGUGUGCGAGUGUGCGUGCUUGUGUGUCGGCGUUUCGGUACAGAAUGUGUGUGAGAUAAUGUGUGUAACUAAAAGGGGGUAUCUCUCUCUAUCGGUAUGCACCUUUGACAGAUUGUAUCUAUUUAUUUAUUUAUUUUCCCAGAAGAGAAAAAAGUAUAAGUGUGUGUGUGUGUGUGUGUGUGUGUACGUGUGUGUGAGACUGCGCGAUUAAUUGUAUGUAAGUACGUGUGCGCGAAAACUUGGUGAAUAUUGUACUCUACAGAGCAGAUUUUAAGCCUAGACAGUAAAGUUAAGGUAGCAUUAUAAGUAUGGUGUUGUAUGUGUGGUUGUGUGAGUGUGUGCGACUACACACUUGAACACUGGGUCAGGACAGGCAUGCUUCCAAAGCUUUUGGUAUAUUUAGCGCCAUGGGGUUCUGUUAUUUUGGUUUGUUCUUAUUUUGUCGUUUUUUUUCUUUUCUUUUUUUAUUCAUUUUCUUUCAGCUUUCUAGCCAGGCUGGUGAGUCAAGAUCUACCAACACCUCAGAAACAAAGUAUUGAGUUUUGUUUGUUUUGAAAGUAGAGUUGGAUGUGCAGUGUUAGAGGGUUUAAAGCUUUAUGAUGCAUGGUUAACGCUGGAGGAAAUGCACACAUCUACGUACGCCACAAUGGACGUGUUUUGCUUGGGGAUAUGUCGUCCACAUCAUUUAAUAUAAGGAGACUGUAGCCAUCAGGAAUUCCAGAAGAUAAGUAGUUUCACACAGCCCUUGAAAUAGGCCUAUACACAGAGUUUACGUAUCAACCAGAUUACGUAUCAAACCACAAACCACAUUGAAAGUAUGAUUGUGUCUGAGUGUGGAACAUGAGAAUCUUCUUUAUUAUGGACUAACGGAUUGUGAAGGACCUCCGCGUCACUGGAGGUAGACGUUAUACUGUACAGGCUCCCCGAGAAUAAAUCCACUGGACAAUACAUAACCAUGUUUUUACCAACAUAAUAUCAGGAUCAAGAAUCUACGGCAUAAAAAGAGUAAAGAUAUAUCCUAAUUACUGUGACGAAUCAGGUUCUCUUCUAACUACACCACACAUGUUUCCUUGUUCCCCUGGAGGCCAUCUUUGCUCCAUCUUGGUUCUAAACACUAGCUGGGUGAGAGAAGUGAAUGCGGAAUUUCGCUUUCAGUUCCAGCACACCCAGGAUCCAAAAUGGCUGCUAUUCGGAAAUAGUCCAAAAUUCUACGAGAAUAUGAAUAACACAUGACAACACUUAUUUAUUUUAGUUUAUUUUUAAUUUGUUUGCUUUAAUACAGUACUCUAUAUUAUUAUUAUUAUUAUUAUUACGGUUGUUUUUAUUAUUAUCCUUACUAUUUUCUUUUGGCAGGGAUGGGAAUGAACGCACACACUGCCAUAUUGAACGUUCUGUGACGGGACAGACAUUUGAUAAAAUUAUGCAAUUAUCUCGGACAAUUCUAGUCAUUCAGUUACUCUGCCUAACAGUUGUACUGCAAGGGUAAACGUCUUGGUUGUUAAAUAAACACAUUCACAUUGCAAAUGCGUUUAUUUAUAUGGAUUUUUAUUUCAAACCAAUCUCAUCUUGUCAUCACGUUAACGUGUCAUGUUGUGCCAUCUCAAGAUGCUAGCACAGACUAGCAUGUGGCUAGUGCUAGGCUACACAUUCUUUUUCAUAGCGUGUCAAUUCAAUGUUCUCUAAGCGCAGAGCGACUCAACUGAUCACUGAUCAGUCAUUUUGAGGAAGAACGUUUGGUUUCCAUGUUUUGUUGCCACACACUGCACAUUAUCCCAUUUAUUCCUGCUAACUGAGUUGAGUCGUCUUUGUUUCAAACUACUUAUGCAUAUAUUUUGGAGCAAAUGACUAAAAUGAUAGUCAGUAGUCACACUUAUUUCUUGCCAGUAAAAAACUUGAUGGAUGAACGUAAUGCCAUGGAAGAGAGUAAAUAGAGAAGACCUUAAUUAUAAAGUUAACUUUAUCCCUUAUUAAAUGAAUAUAAAUUAUACAUUUAAAGAUAGAUGUUGAAGUGUGACCUAGGAUGAUACAUUAAAGCAACAAACAUAAAAAUAAAUAAGUACUGCUUAACUUGCAUUAACCAAUGCCGCACGGAAACAGUGGGAAAUAACAUUGGGUCACCGUAGUUAAACAUUGAUGUAGUAGGUCCUACAUUCAGUGUCUGGGAUAGUUAUCGGUUUUUAAAGGAACAUUUUCAAGAUGUUCAUGUCAAGAUAUAACAAAUUUGAAAGUGACAAUGUGUAAGUCAGUGUAAACGGAUGGUGGUUAUACUACGACAGAUCCCAUUUGGAAGUGUUAUUUGUUGCGCACCAUCAUUCCAUAAGCUACACAUAACCACGUCUAGCGUUGAAGCUUAGAAAAAGGUCUCAUUGUCGUGUUGGGGCCACUCGCUUUGAGCAGUGUAGGGUAGGCUUAUAGGUGUUAUAGGUUUUAAUGGAAUAUAGCUUGUACAUUCAGACCAGCAGUUUGGAGAGAAUAGGAGCAUUGGAAUGUUAGUGUUAGUUGGAAGGAGUGUUUUUUUCAUUGUUUAGUAAUUAAUCAUAAAGAAAGAGUUGUCAUUAUGGGGAGACGUUUUGUUUGAAACUGCAACGGUGAUUCUUAUGCGAGACAAGGCAAAAUUAGUUUUCUUUAACCACGGUUAUGGUAUAUUUGCGUUGAUUUAGGAUUUUACAGUAUUUUAACUCUCUUGAGUCCUUUCAAUAUGGCGGAGUAUCACCAACAUAACUCCCAUGAUGCAUUCUGUUGUACAAGCCCUCUACAGAGCAGAAGGGCUGGGGGGAUAUGAAGUAGCUCAAGUCUGUCUACAUCACACAAGAUAUGCAAUAAUUGUCACUGUAUACCAGGUUCUUAGAAGUUAUUUAAAGAUGAGUCGUCACAAAGAAUGAUAACAUGUCGACAUGUUAUGGUUUAGUUUAUUGAUUGAUUGAUAUUUCUAUUUUUCCUGUUAUAUUUUAAAGCUGUGCUAUUUUCAUCACCCCACUUUGUUUUGAUUGAAUUGUGUUUUUGUGCAUGCGUUUGUGCAGUAGGGAUGGCCUGUAGUCAAAUAAUUACAUGAGAUCCAUGAGGCCCAAUAAAAUGGCAGUUCCUCUUUAAUUUGACUCACAAAAUUGAUGGCUGGAGCUUUUCCUCUCUAGUUGUCAAUGACGUUGUUGAGUUAACUAGCUAUAAUCCAGCAAAACGUGUAUUAUUUAACGGGUUUUAUCAAGGAUAUAGUCCAGCUGUUAAUAAAUGUAAAAUUUGGGGAUAGAGUAUAUUUUUUUGUGUAGAGGGACAACUCUAUAUGCUAAGCUGUUCAUGUAGUUCCCCAGACUCUAAUUUUGCAUAUCUUGUGUUUAUCAAAGUUUGUUCAGUGGAAGGACUAUGAGCCUUUUGUAUCAAUUAUCUGUCAUGUUCCCCAACUGACCAAAAAAAUGAAGACUCCCAUAGUAGUGUGAGCAGGAAGAAACAUAGAGAAAAAUCAACAAUUAAGAAUCUCUCCCACACAGCCAUGCACAUCCACAUAUGUUCAGGAAUCCUCAAGUGUUAACUUACUUUGGCUUUUUUCUUUGGAAUUGUUGCCUCGAAAACGAGGCUGUGUCACUGUAAAGAACAUUAGGUUAAGUAAAAAAAGUUUGUUUUCGACAGAGUUCCCUAAUUCUUUCAUUCAUUGGUUAUGUGUCAGACCUUUAAGGAUGUUUUUGAGAUGGGUAAUGAGGCUGUUUUACUACAUGAAUCUUCCUUCCAGGAAUUUAAGGCAUUGGUCAGAUGUGUGAAAAAUAGGCUAUAUGUUGAGCCCACCACUAGCGAAUGAAUGUUAUUUUGAUAUAGCUUAUAGAGAGGAAUAGCCUUGUAGAAAAUAUCAAAUUAACCCCAAUAUAUAUGUGAUUGAAAGAUAUCUAGAGGAGAUUUAAGGAGGAACGUUUCAACAUCUACUUGAAAAGACCUUGAAUAGAUUGAAAACCCUGUCUUCAUUUCAUUUGAAACCAUAACCGCUGAAAUGUAUUUUAAAUGAAUUACGUUUUCAUAGUUUAUCUGUAGUACCAGCUAUAUUGAAAAUUGUCAUUCUUGGCAUUAGACAUUUUUUGCAUAUGAUUACUUAUUUGCUAGUUACUCACUUACUUACUGGUAGCCUAGCAUUAGCCUAAAUUUACUAAAGACAGGACCAAAUAGCUCACGUGGAAAAGAUCAGAUCUAUAGGCCUUCCUGCUAGAGUUAAUGUUGUUUCAUUACUUCUGUGAUAUGAUCCGAUCUGGUAGAUCAGUGGACUAGAGCCAGGUAUGUGGUCGUUUUUUAAAGAAAUUCCCUGGCUGUUUUUAUUUGCUUUCUUAAGAAGCUAUCUAUAUGUAGGGCCUGCAACAAGCGAGAGAAUAGAAGUGGCCUGGGUAAAAUUUGAUAAUUUAUAACAUUGAUUUCUGUAUCAGAUGCCGUAAUCGUAGUCUAUAUGAAAUAUAUUUUGAUAUAUAUUAAAUGACAUGUUACUGGUAGUAUUUAAGCCCUAUAGGCCUACAGAGAGCAUUUAGGAAUUAGAUCAUGUUCAUAUAUGACACAGAAACAACAGUAACAGCAUAAAAAUAACAUACUGGCUCUUGGGAAAAUGAAUUGCGGUAUUCACAAGUGAGUAAGAUGGAAAGUAAAAUGGUCAGAUCAAAACAUAAUUACACGUUUUCUUCAUCACAAGAUUCUGUCAACAAGUAUCACCCAAAAGAUUUCGGGCGGGGGUUGUAUGUGUGAGUGUUUGAUGUGGCGGAAUAAAAAUGUACCUCCAGAUAAAUGUAUGAGUAUAAUCAAGAUUACAAUGUUUGAUCAGCUGAAGGGAAUCCAAGCUAACUCAAGAGCUGGCAGUACUUCGGCAGCUGAGUACAGGGACUUCCGGCUUCUUAUCUUCGAGGAACCUGGCCCUAAGCAGUGACACAUAACCUUAGGGUGGCUGAUCUUGUCCACAUCAUCAUACAUUCACAAACCAUCUGUCAUCGCUGCCUGUCUAAAUGUAACGCCCCGUAGAACGUGUUCAUUUGAUAAGAAUGAGGAUGGAUGUUAAUGAAUGAACGGUGUGUACUCUUGUGUGUGUGUGUGUGUGUGUGUGUGUGUGUGUGUGUGUGUGUGUGUGUGUGUGUGUGUGUGUGUGUGUGUGUGUGUGUGUGUGUGUGUGUGUGUGUGUGUUCGGGAGUAAGAGAAGCAGGAUGAAUGGCUUACAUUAAUGUAAAAAUCAACCUUGGUAGUGGUGGUGGUUCAUAACACAGGUAGCUGGGCUGAUGUGGAGACGUGUCAGUUCUAAGUGUCUCCACAUCAGUGAGCCGAAACAGGAAGCUGUGGUCAUAGCUACGUCUCCGGACGACUAGAGUAUAGCGUGAGAAGUGGUGGGCUCCAUGUUGUCUUUAUUAACGGCUGAAAUACUCCAGAUUUUAAUCAUGCAUUAAAGAGGUCUAGAGAGAGGGAAGAAAUGGCACUGAAACUCUACUAUUCAAUCAUCAGGAAAUGCAUCGUGAGCCUGUUUCCUACUCAGACGGUUACAAUCACUUGUAAGGCCUGGUUUGGUUUUGUGUGUUCCAUCCGCAUGAAUCAGUCGUCUCCAUAUUGACUCUAGUUAAUAAACAUGCAACAUGUUAGCAGGAGAGAUAUUUUCUUUGUCAGAGGAUAAUUUUUUUUUUUUUUAGAGAUAUGUUCAUAAUAUUCACAGAGAGACCAACAAAAUAUUUGUUGUUAUAUUAGUAGAGGCGCUACUGUUAAAUAUAGUACUUAAUGACCACCUUUUAUGGUUAAAAAACAAGACAAACUAAAGAGUGUUAUUGUGCUUAUGGUAGCUUUGAAGGCAGGUGGCCAUCUUGUAAGUUAUUUUAUUUAAGUGUAUUAUCCCUCAGCCAUCGGAGGGAUUCUAUUUCUAUUGUUUUGGAGGGAUUUUGUUUUGAUUAAUUUGGGAGGAUUCCUUGGGAGGUGUCUUGGGGUUGCUAGGCGACACUAUUUCAAACUCUGGAAACUUCAGUGACAACAUGACAUAUUCCUCUUCCUUUAUCUUCUUGGAAAACACUUUCUUGUUCUGUUAAUUUAUUCAUUUCAUUUUUUAGAUUCUAGAAAGGGAAAUAAUACAAAUUGAAUAAAUCUGAAUAUUAAUCAAUCACCUUUUCUACUCGUAUUUUCAAUAAAAAGUUAAAUGAAAAACCAAACAAAAAGUUGAUUUGUAAAUAGUCGAUGUACAGUUUGUAUCUGUAACUCGUCAGUCUGUCUUUGGUGACAGAGUCUGUCUUGCUUAUAACGCACGCUACCAGUAAAUAAAAAAGGAAAAAGUAUAUUUAGACUGUAUGGUCAAUUGAAAGCAAAUUUUAAAUUAAUCUCUGAUGUAUAUUCCUGUAACAUUGCAUUUUUAUCUGAGGAAUGAUGUUAUUAAAACAUUGCAAAUAAAUUACAUUUCCUACA
ensembl:lncRNA